GAUGAACGCUGGCGGCGUGCCUAAUACAUGCAAGUCGAGCGAACGGACGAGAAGCUUGCUUCUCUGAUGUUAGCGGCGGACGGGUGAGUAACACGUGGAUAACCUACCUAUAAGACUGGGAUAACUUCGGGAAACCGUAGCUAAUACCGGAUAAUAUUUUGAACCGCAUGGUUCAAAAGUGAAAGACGGUCUUGCUGUCACUUAUAGAUGGAUCCGCGCUGCAUUAGCUAGUUGGUAAGGUAACGGCUUGCCAAGGCAACGAUGCAUAGCCGACCUGAGAGGGUGAUCGGCCACACUGGAACUGAGACACGGUCCAGACUCCUACGGGAGGCAGCAGUAGGGAAUCUUCCGCAAUGGGCGAAAGCCUGACGGAGCAACGCCGCGUGGGUGAUGAAGGUCUUCGGAUCGUAAAACUCUGUUAUUAGGGAAGAACAUAUGUGUAAGUAACUGUGCACAUCUUGACGGUACCUAAUCAGAAAGCCACGGCUAACUACGUGCCAGCAGCCGCGGUAAUACGUAGGUGGCAAGCGUUAUCCGGAAUUAUUGGGCGUAAAGCGCGCGUAGGCGGUUUUUUAAGUCUGAUGUGAAAGCCCACGGCUCAACCGUGGAGGGUCAUUGGAAACUGGAAAACUUGAGUGCAGAAGAGGAAAGUGGAAUUCCAUGUGUAGCGGUGGAAUGCGCAGAGAUAUGGAGGAACACCAGUGGCGAAGGCGACUUUCUGGUCUGUAACUGACGCUGAUGUGCGAAAGCGUGGGGAUCAAACAGGAUUAGAUACCCUGGUAGUCCACGCCGUAAACGAUGAGUGCUAAGUGUUAGGGGGUUUCCGCCCCUUAGUGCUGCAGCUAACGCAUUAAGCACUCCGCCUGGGGAGUACGACCGCAAGGUUGAAACUCAAAGGAAUUGACGGGGACCCGCACAAGCGGUGGAGCAUGUGGUUUAAUUCGAAGCAACGCGAAGAACCUUACCAAAUCUUGACAUCCUUUGACAACUCUAGAGAUAGAGCCUUCCCCUUCGGGGGACAAAGUGACAGGUGGUGCAUGGUUGUCGUCAGCUCAUGUCGUGAGAUGUUGGGUUAAGUCCCGCAACGAGCGCAACCCUUAAGCUUAGUUGCCAUCAUUAAGUUGGGCACUCUAAGUUGACUGCCGGUGACAAACCGGAGGAAGGUGGGGAUGACGUCAAAUCAUCAUGCCCCUUAUGAUUUGGGCUACACACGUGCUACAAUGGACAAUACAAAGGGCAGCGAAACCGCGAGGUCAAGCAAAUCCCAUAAAGUUGUUCUCAGUUCGGAUUGUAGUCUGCAACUCGACUACAUGAAGCUGGAAUCGCUAGUAAUCGUAGAUCAGCAUGCUACGGUGAAUACGUUCCCGGGUCU
rnacentral:rRNA from 1 species